rnacentral:lncRNA from 1 species
UGUCUGCGAAGUCCCCAUAGCACAGUGAAACACAAUCUGCCUGGAUAGAGAUCACACACAUACAGACACAGACACACACACACAGACACAGACACACACAGACAUAAAGGCACACAGAACCCCACCCAGACAGACACACACACACAGACACAGACACACACACACAAACACACAUACAAACACAGACACACACACAAACACACACUCACAAACACAGACACACACACACAAACACACAUACAAACACACACACACUCACAAACACAGAUACACACACACAAACACACAUACACAGAGACACACACACAGACACACGCAGACACACACACAGACACAGACACACAGACACACAGACACAGACACACACACACAGACAUAAAGGCACACAGAACCCCACCCAGACAGACAGACACACACAAACACAGACACACAGACACACACACAGACACACACACACAAACACACACACACAGACACACACACAAACACACACACACUCACAAACACAGACACACACACACAAACACACACACAAACACACAUACAAACACACACACACUCACAAACACAGACACACACACACAAACACACAUACACAGAGACACACACACACAGACACACACAGACACACACACAGACACACACACAGACACACACAGACAUAAAGGCACACAGAACCCCCCCAGACAGACACACACAUACAAACACAGACACAGACACACACACUCACAAACACACAUACAAACACAGACACACACACACAGACACACAGACACACACACAACACACACAAACACACAGACACACACAUACAAACACAGACACACACACACAAACACACAUACACAGAGACACACACACACAAACACACAUACAAACACAGACACACAGACACACACAUACAAACACACACACACACACACAGAUACACAGAACCCCCCCAGACAGACACACAUAUACAAACACAGGCACACAGGACCCCCCAGACACAAACACACACAUGGACACAC